UGAUCACCCUAAUCGAGAGCGCAUAGGCGUGGAUGUAAUUUUCUCUUUAUUAUUCUUUUGUAUAAUAUGAACAUUAUUUCAUUUUGUGUUAAAUAUUCAAAAAAAUAGUGCCCUCGCCAUUUGGACUGUAAAAUGCAAUUGAAAAGCUUACGAAUUUGUGAAAAUUAUGCUCCGCUUACACUUGUCGAGUGCUUGAGCCAACUGGCACCAGUACUCGCCACGUGUAAACGAGGCUUUAGUGAAUUCAGUUCUGAAUGUAUUAUAUAAUGUAAUUGAAAUAGGCGGGUAUUUUCAUGAUUUAGAAAUAGUUCAUCGUAGUUAGUCCAACGAAUACGCUUACUCAAGGCACUGGCCUUUAAAUAAGACUUGGAUAGAUUUGUUACUUUAUAUCAGAAUAAUUUAAUUGUAUUCCUAGCAGUAAAUAGUGCGCUUUUAGAUUUAAGCUAUUUUUAUAUCAAUUUAUUUGAAACUAAUAUAAAAAAACUAAUGAUAGUACAUAAUAUUGUCUGUUCCAAUUUGAUUUGCACUGAAGUUAUUUGAUCAUUUAGAGUAGACUGACGAAGUAAGGAUUGUAAAUGGUCCCGUAUAGGUUUAAGUGUAUUUAGAUGUAAGUAUUUCCCUGAAUAUAUAAGUAAAUUAAAAUAAAAAUUGUAUAGAAAAACUAAUAAAAAUUACGGGAGCGUUUAGGGCAGUUGGCAGAAGUUUUUGCUGACUGUACAAGGUUCAAUGACCUCCAGUGUGAAUGAAUUUGGAGUGGACGCUAGCGACUUUUGAAAUUGUAUUCCGUUCUUGAGGUGCAUGUGAUCUCAUCGACAUUCAGAGGGCUCGCGGCCGCGUGGCGUUCGAUGGCGAUAGAAUAUGUCACUUUUGUACUUAGCUACAACUUCUGUUUUUAAGCUAGGUCUGGUGUAACAAUGCUAAUACAUAUAUUCUUCAUGUUUUCAUAAAAAUAAUGUCAUUUGUUUUUGUAGAUAUCAUAUCAGAGAUUAGUGGUAUUUUCACACUGCAAGUUAGUACAAAAUUAGAUUCACUUACCCAUUACUUUAGCAUUGGCGACAAGGACGCAGCAAUACGUAGAAGUGAGAUGCAGUGAUCUCACAUAUAGUUAGGUCCCUGUCAUCACUCAUCAGUUACAAAUAUGUAGUGUGUGACGCUUUAGGCGGACAGUACGAAAGUAUUUACAUUGGUAUCCAGAAUUCGAGAUACGUUUGACAUUUCUUCCAAAAAUGUCUUCUUUCUUUUUAUAUAUAAUAAGUAACAUAAAGUAAAAUGUAUAUUAUAUACCGCAACUGUAACGGUAAUCUCAUCAAUAAUUCAAACGCAAGUUACUUGUAAAUUCUGGACCUCUUACUUGACACGUGAUAAAUUGUAUCGCCAUGGACUAAACGCGGGAGUGAGCCGGAAGUGUAUCUCACUGUGCAAUACCAUGCAUUCAUCUUCACUUCGCGGUGUGAAUGGCCUGAUCUAGUAUUAAAUAAAAUGGUGUUGAUGAUAA